AUUGAACGCUGGCGGCAGGCCUAACACAUGCAAGUCGGGCGAGUGGCGGACGGGUGAGUAAUGUAUGGGGAUCUGCCUGAUGGAGGGGUAUAACUACUGGAACCGGUAGCUAAUACCGCAAACCACCAGAUGACCCCAAAUGGGAUUAGCUUGUAGGUGUGGCAACGGCUCACCUAGGCCACGAUCCCUAGCUGGUCUGAGAGGAUGACCAGCCACACUGGAACUGAGACACGGCCCAGACUCCGACGGGAGGCAGCAGUGGGGAAUAUUGAACAAUGGGCGCAAGCCUGAUGCAGCCAUGCCGCGUGUAUGAAGAAGGCCUUCGGGUUGUAAAGUACUUGCAGUCGGGAGGCGUUACCGACAGAAGAAGCACCGGCUAACUCCGUGCCAGCAGCCGCGGUAAGUC
rnacentral:rRNA from 1 species